rnacentral:misc_RNA from 1 species
CCCCCCCCCCCCCCCAACCCCCAAACAAAAAAUGAUGAAUUUGACACGUACAUCUCCUAUAGAUUGAUUGCUAAACAAAGAGAAAUCUGCGGCCAGAAAAGAAACAAAGGCACGAAAGAUUGCAAAAGAACCAACAAUAAAGGCUAACAAGAAGCAGAAGAGAUGGGGCUUAAGAAAAAAGAGCCAAUAUGACUUAUAUCCUAGUCCUGAACAAAUUUACACCCAUGAAAGUUUGCAACACAAGGAAACUGAGAGUUCCUUAGACAACCUUAACUUAUUGAGGUCAAUUAGAAAUUUGUUGCACCAUCUUAGACUAAAGCAUUAUCAGAAAAGAUUUUGAAUUUGUGAGGCUGUCUUAAAUAACUGUUGUAAUAUAUUAGUAGAAAGCAAAAGGUUAAAAAGCACAUCAUGCAUUUGGCGGAAAGAUAAAAUCAUGGGAAAAAAGUGCUCAUCUUUAUGAAAUUGAAAGACAUGAUACCGAGACAAGCAAGAUAUCUCGUUCGUCACAAAAGCACACCAAAAUCAUCGGACAGAGAUGUUUAUCAAUGCAUGAAGUUCUGCUCACAAUUAUUGCCACAUGUCAAAGAAAUGAAGUCAAUGCAAAGGACACAGUUUUCAGCCUUAAGAAGCCUCUACUUUGAUCUAGCCACGAAAGAAGGAAAGUUCUAUAUAACAUUUUGUUCUAAACAUCCAAUAAAUGCAUAUUUUUAUCCAAA